CCUGCAUCUGCCCCUUUCUUACGCAAGAUGCUACCAAGGAGCUUGUCCAUGCUCUAGUAAUUUCCUGCAUGGAUUAUUGUAACCCUCUCCUAAUUAGUCUUCCCAGAAGCUGUAUUGCCCCUCUACAGUCUGUAAUGAAUGCUGCCGCCCGACUGAUUUUCCUCUCUAGUCGGUCCUCUCACACCUCACCCGUUUGACAGUCCUUACAUUGGCUUCCUGUAUCCU